UGCAAAUAAUUCUCAGUAAGAAGCCAUUUUAUACCUGUUUAGAGAGUAAAUAUUUUUAUACAAUCAUCAAUUUAGUUUUACAACCAGUAACCAAAUUAGUUAUUUUGGGAUCUUUAGUGUUCAAUAAAACUCCUUUAUAUUCACCUUUAGAGAGUGAAAAUUGUAUUUAAAAACAAAAAAUUUGGAUUUGGGCACAAACUGUAAAGAAAAAAAAUAAAUAAACAAGGUCAUCGUAAAUUUUUGAAAGAAGAAGUCUCCAGCAGCCGAAAAACAUUCUUAGUUCUUUCCUUAAUGUUCUCAACUUGUUAUUGUAUCCGCUAACCUUUGAAGUGAGAAGUGACGUGAUUAAAUUGCAAAUUUGAAAAAAAAACGGAAUAUUUUCAAGAAAUAAAAGGUUAAGUUUCUAUUUUGUGAUUAUAAUACUCCAGCAAUAUUAACAUUGGAAUAAUAAGAGGAUAUCGGCUC